AGCGAACGCUGGCGGCAGGCCUAACACAUGCAAUUCGAACGAACUCUUCGGAGUUAGUGGCGGACGGGUGAGUAACACGUGGGAACGUGCCUUUAGGUUCGGAAUAACUCAGGGAAACUUGUGCUAAUACCGAAUGUGCCCUUCGGGGGAAAGAUUUAUCGCCUUUAGAGCGGCCCGCGUCUGAUUAGCUAGUUGGUGAGGUAAAGGCUCACCAAGGCGACGAUCAGUAGCUGGUCUGAGAGGAUGAUCAGCCACAUUGGGACUGAGACACGGCCCAAACUCCUACGGGAGGCAGCAGUGGGGAAUCUUGCGCAAUGGGCGAAAGCCUGACGCAGCCAUGCCGCGUGAAUGAUGAAGGUCUUAGGAUUGUAAAAUUCUUUCACCGGGGACGAUAAUGACGGUACCCGGAGAAGAAGCCCCGGCUAACUUCGUG
rnacentral:rRNA from 1 species